AGAUUGAACGCUGGCGGCAGGCCUAACACAUGCAAGUCGAGCGGCAGCACGGGUACUUGUACCUGGUGGCGAGCGGCGGACGGGUGAGUAAUGCCUAGGAAUCUGCCUGGUAGUGGGGGAUAACGCUCGGAAACGGACGCUAAUACCGCAUACGUCCUACGGGAGAAAGCAGGGGACCUUCGGGCCUUGCGCUAUCAGAUGAGCCUAGGUCGGAUUAGCUAGUUGGUGAGGUAAUGGCUCACCAAGGCGACGAUCCGUAACUGGUCUGAGAGGACGAUCAGUCACACUGGAACUGAGACACGGUCAGACUCUACGGAGCAGCAGUGGGAAUAGUUGACAAGUGGGA
rnacentral:rRNA from 1 species